rnacentral:lncRNA from 1 species
CCCUCUCUCCCUUCCCACUCUUUCCCUCUCCCUCUCUCCAUCUCUCCCCACUCUUUCUCUCUCCCUCCCUCCCCACUUUCUCCCUCCCUCCCCUCUCUCCUCUCUAGAGACGUGUUUUUGUCUGCGUUCGUUGGUUUGUUCGUCUGGCUGUGUGUAACUGAAAACAUCAAAACAAAACAGAUUGUGGUCUUCUUUUGUGGCGGUAUUUAGCGCAGGCGCUGUGUGGUCGCCCCACAGUCCUGUUGCUAAGCAACCGGCCUGCUCUCUCUUUCUGAGCCGAGCUUCUCUUCAUUUCCUGUUCACUGGUAGCUGUUGCACACAUGCCACACACACAGCACACACACACCACUCCCCGACGGCUGAAAGGAGAAGUAGAUUAUUGUCAGUCAGUCAGUUAGUCAGUCAGUCAGGCAGUUAAGGGAGUAGUGGCAACAACAUAACAUCAUCCUGUCUGUGUUAUUAUCAAAUAUAUAUAAAUGGAUUAAAAACACGUAUAGCAGAAGGAUUAGCUAGGCAUUGAAUGUAUUCAAGCACCACAAGUGACUUCAUUUGAAAUAGAAACUAACAACCGUUGUCGGCCAUCUUGGAUCCCCUCGGACAUGGGGUUUUUCUCCUUUUGUUUUUGUACAUGUGUUUAUCGAUUUGUUUUAAAUUCUAAUUUCUUCCCGAAUUGGUCUGAAAUGAAAUGUUAUUUUGACAGUUAACUUUACCUUCAACGCAAUUCAUACUAUCUCUGUUCUCUUCUCUGUUGCUGUAGUCUAGUAGGCCUACAUACAACAAGCUGUUGAUGAAUCAGGCAAUCUGAGCUCUGUUUAGUUGAUUCCAUGUGUUGCAACCAUGAACUGUUUGACUGUGAAGAGAAAUACAUACAGGCCUCCAACCCUAACGAGAUGGAGAGGUUUAAAAAUGAGCUUGUGGUGGUGGCUAGUACAAUUACUCUAUUACCAGUGUUUCCCCCCUUUCCCCCCCAACGGUGAGAUGUUGGAUGGAGAAAGAGGUAGGUUUGUCCCCAGGCUUCUCUAAACGUCAGUGUAAUGAGAACAUGAGGAUUCUGUCAUGUCAACAAACCAGCCAAAAAGCCUUCUACUAGUCUUAACUAACCCCGUGUUUAGUUCACUUCCUCGCCAUAGCAACCACACAAAUGUUGUUGAUUAUAUUCUGUCAAAUAUACACAUUGUUUUUGUGUAUCUAAGUGAGUUGAAAGACCUCUCUCCAAAGCACAGCUACGGUUGGUAAAAUGCCCAUGAAAUUGUUUUGAUAAAUGUUUUUAUUUGAUAUUUUGAGAAUGUAGGCUGUCCUCUGUGGUUCUGUAGUGUUGUGAGAAAGACCGGCUCCAGGUCAGAGUAUCCCUUAAAGGGAGAUCUAGGGUCAGUUUCCCAUCCUUAAACCCGAACCUUCACUGUUGGGAGAGGACAAACACAAAACUGAUCUUAGAUCAGUGUCUAAGGGGCGUAACUUCGUCCUACUCAGAGGGGGCUGCCGUCGAGUGUGAAGGGUGAGAAUUAAACACUUCCUGGUCAGUGUUAUGGAUCCUAAAGGUCACGUAAGGUCGCGACCCUUGACUUUUGGUCCUCUUUGUCAAAGUGAAGGAUUUCCCUUCCAACAAAAAAAAAGAAGCUUCCUCCAAAUAUCAUUG